GAUGAACGCUGGCGGCGUGCCUAAUACAUGCCAGUCGAGCGAACGGACGAGAAGCUUGCUUCUCUGAUGUUAGCGGCGGACGGGUGAGUAACACGUGGAUAACCUACCUAUAAGACUGGGAUAACUUCGGGAAACCGGAGCUAAUACCGGAUAAUAUUUUGAACCGCAUGGUUCAAAAGUGAAAGACGGUCUUGCUGUCACUUAUAGAUGGAUCCGCGCUGCAUUAGCUAGUUGGUAAGGUAACGGCUUACCAAGGCAACGAUGCAUAGCCUACCUGAGAGGGUGAUCAGCCACACUGGGACUGAGACACGGUCCAGACUCCGACGGGAGGCAGCAGUAGGGAAUCUUCCGCAAUGGGCGAAAGCCUGACGGAGCAACGCCGCGUGAGUGAUGAAGGUCUUCGGAUCGUAAAACUCUGUUAUUAGGGAAGAACAUAUGUGUAAGUAACUGUGCACAUCUUGACGGUACCUAAUCAGAAAGCCACGGCUAACUACGUG
rnacentral:rRNA from 1 species